rnacentral:lncRNA from 1 species
GGGAACAAAUGGAGAAAUUGCAUCAAAGAAAGUUCCCUCAUCCUUGUAUAGCUUAAAGGCUUAUUUGUUGAACGAAAACAAAAAUUUCUUUCACUUGUGACAAAUUCCUGAAUGAAUACAAAUUUUAAUCAGAUUAAAUGCCACUGCAUGCAUAUAUAAUUCCAAAUUAGGACUGGACGCAAAGUUGUGACGUUCUUCACAAUAAUAAACCAGUUUCCAUCUCUGUAAAUAUCCGUUUUUUC